rnacentral:rRNA from 1 species
CGCCAGACUCCUACGGGAGGCAGCAGUGGGGGAUAUUGCACAAUGGGGGGAACCCUGAUGCAGCGACGCCGCGUGGGUGAAGGAGCGUUUCGGCGCGUAAAGCCCUAUCGGCAGGGAAGAAGGAGGACGGUACCUGACUAAGAAGCCCCGGCAAACUACGUGCCAGCAGCCGCGGUAAUACGUAGGGGGCGAGCGUUGUCCGGAAUGACUGGGCGUAAAGGGAGUGUAGGCGGCUCUUUAAGUUAUAUGUGAAAUCCCGCGGCUUAACCGUGGAAGUGCAUAUAAAACUGGGGAGCUGGAGUGCAGGAGAGGUGAGUGGAAUUCCUAGUGUAGCGGUGGAAUGCGUAGAUAUUAGGAAGAACACCGGUGGCGAAGGCGGCUCACUGGACUGUAACUGACGCUGAGGCUCGAAAGCGUGGGGAGCAAACAGGAUUAGAUACCCGAGUAA